rnacentral:rRNA from 1 species
ACCGGCAAACGGGUGAGUAACGCGUAUGCAACCUGCCUUUUACAGAGGGAUAGCUUUCGGAAACGGAAAUUAAUACCUCAUAACACUACGAGACGGCAUCGUUUUGUAUUUAAAACUACGGUGGUAAAAGAUGGGCAUGCGUAACAUUAGCUAGUUGGUAAGGUAACGGCUUACCAAGGCGACGAUGUUUAGGGGACCUGAGAGGGUGAUCCCCCACACUGGUACUGAGACACGGACCAGACUCCUACGGGAGGCAGCAGUGAGGAAUAUUGGUCAAUGGACGGAAGUCUGAACCAGCCAUCCCGCGUGCAGGAAGACGGCCCUAUGGGUUGUAAACUGCUUUUCUGAAGGAAGAAUAAUUACGAUGUAUCGUAAGACGACGGUACUUCAGGAAUAAGCAUCGGCUAACUCCGUGCCAGCAGCCGCGGUAAUACGGAGGAUGCAAGCGUUAUCCGGGAUUUAUUGGGUUUAAAGGGUGCGUAGGCGGACUAAUAAGUCAGUGGUGAAAUCUCUCGGGCUCAACCGGGAAACUGCCAUUGAUACUGUUAGUCUUGAGUUCGGUUGAGGUAGGCGGAAUGUGUAAUGUAGCGGUGAAAUGCUUAGAUAUUACACAGAACACCAAUUGCGUAGCAGCUUACUAGACCGACACUGACGCUGAGGCACGAAAGCGUGGGUAGCGAACAGGAUUAGAUACCC